ACAGCUCCCAGCACGCCCCACGGGCCCACGCCCGCCAGGACUACAAUUCCCGGCGUCCUCCGGAAGCUCAAGCGUACCCAGGCGCGGCGCCUGCUGGGAAUUAUAGUUGUCGUUGGUCAGCACGCGGGCCACGGGAUCCCAGCCCCGCCUUUGUGGGACUGAGGUGGCGCUGAGUGGGAGAGCCGCAGGGGAUGCGCGAAAGGCGGGACGUGGAGGGAAAGUGAUCUGCCAUGCAGUCGACACCUCCAGGCCUCAGCCUGUUGUUGGGAAUCCAAGGUAACAAUAAUUUUAUCAGGAUCAUAUCCUGUAAGCACUUUUGAUCUAUGCCUGCCUAUUGUUAUAAAUUGUGUGACUAAAGAAAGAUAAACUUGCAAGGAUUUUACUAUUUGGAUAAAAAAAAACCAUUCUAUUACCAUUAUAAUUUUGUCUAUGAAUUGACCUAAAAGUCCUGCUGGAGAAUGGGGGGUAGCAAGAAAAAACAAAAGCAAAGUCUUUUGUGGUUGUAGCCGGGAGUCAUGUCAUUGCUGAAACAUCUGUUCUACAAGCUGUAAUUCAGCUUCUGCCUCCUUAGUAAGUUGCCGAGGGGAAUCUAAUGAAGAAUCUCCUUGGAGGGUUUGAUAAAGAUGAGUGAGUUGAUAAGGAGCAAUACCUAGCAUUGGGCGCAGCCAAUUAAUAUCCCCUAAUAACUGUUGAAAGUUAUUCAGAGUUUGUAAUUUGUUCUUACAAAGAGCUACUUUCUAAGGCUAAAUACUUUUUUCAGUAACAAUAGUACCUAAGUAGUGGUAUGGGGAGGUUGUUUGCACCUUUUCAGGAGCUAUUUUGAGAUUCCAUUGAGUUAAAGCCCAUUUUAUUUCUCUGAAUAACUGGUAUAAUACUUGAUCUGUAGGAGCGACCAAAAAAAACAUUAUCCAUAUAAUGAAUGACAUAGGUGGUGGGAAACAUAUUCUGAGGCUCCUUCAAUGCUUUUCCUACAAAAUGCUGACAUAACAUAGGACUGUUGAGCAUGCCCUGGGGUAAUAGAACUUUUCAUUGAUCAUGAGAGACAGGCUCUCUGUGAUUAACAGAAGGCACAGAGAAGGCGAAUUGAGGCUUGUCCUUCUUGUGUAAUGGUAUAGUAAAAAUACAGUCUUUAAGAUCUAUUACUACAAGAGGCUAAUCUUUUGGAAUGGCUGCCGGGGAUGGCAGACCUUGCUGUAAUGCACCCACUGGUUUAAUUUGUGCAUUAACUCUCAAAUUAUGCAGCAGUUGCCAUUUUCCUGACUUUUUUGGGGUCACAAAUACUGGUGAAUUCCAAGCACUAACUGAUUCUUUUGUACAGCCUGCAUCCAACUGCUUUCUUACCAGCUGAUGGAGUUGAGUCAGUUUCUCCUGUGAUAGGGGCCAUUGAUCCACCCACACAGGUUUAUCAGUCAGCCACUCUAGCGGCAAGGCAGUGGGUGGAGGAGAAGUAUCAAUGACCCCUAUCAGAAAUUCUGAUGCCCUAGCCCUGUCCUAUCCGUUUGCCCAGUUACCGAUAUUGGAUUGGGGUUUCCCUGUAGGAACUUUCCCAAGCCUUUCCCACUCUGAUAUCACAUUUCCUUCAAUAUUUUGAAUCCUGGAUUAUCAAACUUUUCAUUUGUGAGUCUCAUAUCCCAUGCUGUAAGUAAAUCUCAGCCCCAGAGAUUUGCAACUUAAGGUUGAAAAGUACAUGGCUGUCCAUCUGGACCGAGACGAAGUAAAAUUUCAGCACUCUGUUGAACACUUUGAGCUGUUCCUACUCCCACUAAGGAUGUAGAGGUUAAUUGCAGGGGCCAAGAUGGGGGUCAACUGUUUUGGGAUAUUACUGAAACAUCUGCUCCCGUGUCCACACGUCCAUAGCACUUCUUUCCUUUAAUUUGCACCGCACAGGUGGGUCAAUUAGAAGCUAUGGGUUGGGAUGGGUAAAUUUCAUGUGUAGUUGUACUCCCAAAUUCUUGAUUUCCUGUUUUCUCCUUUUGUGAAGAAGGGUGUAAUUUGCAGAGAAUAAUAAUAAUAAGCAAUAGCUGAGCAAUAUAUUCCCCAGGUUUAAAAACCCAAAGAUGUUGUGACAUUACAAUUACUUGAAUUUCUCUUUCAUAAUCAGAGUCAACAAUCCCAGGGACCACAGUAAUGCCCUGUAAGUUAAGAUGGCUUUGGCCUAAAAUUAAUCCUUUAUAUCCUGUUGGCAAAGGUCCCCAAAUGUCGGUGGGAAUUUUGGUGGGUUUCUCUCCUCCAACUAACGUGACCCUUUCUCUGACUGGGCGAUCUAAUCCUGCACUCCCGGGUGUUCCAGAGGAGAGGGAGUCAAUGUUCCUCCAGGAACCCACCCCUGUAGCCGGGUUGUGGCCUGGAUGGGGAAUGCCCUCAUUGUUUGAGGGGCUGGGCCCAGGCCCCAUUUUCAUUUCCUGACAGCGGGGUGCCAUUCUGAUGAAAUUUUGAGCAAUAUUGAUUAGCCCAAUGAUUUCCUUUAUUAUGGCAAGGGCAGAGUCCUGGUGUUUGUGUGUGUGUGUGUGUUUGGGGAGGGGGCAGGUACUGCAUUAUAAGAUCCCUUCCGCCUAGAGGUCUGAUGGCAUUCUUUUUUGAAAUGUCCAAUUUUUCCACAGUUAUAACAUUUUCCCACUUUAGGGCUCAACCCUUGGCCCUUUUCAGAUUUGUUCACUACUAAAUUAGCCAUUGCUUGAGCUAACAUUGUUGAACGAUGGAGUUCAGUUCCCACACCUCACAGGCUUUGAGAAAAUUUCCCAAGCUCUUUGUACAUCUCACAGGUGCUAAUGCACAUUUACAAUCUGCAUUUGCAUUUUCAAAAGCUAGGGUCAAAGUAAGCAUUUUCGCAGCAGCAGUAUGAGGAAUUUGACGCUGCACUGCCUGUUGUAACCAUGCAAUAAACUGUGCAUAGAGCUCUUGUGAUUUUUGCAUGAUAUGCGGAAAAGAUCAUACUGGGACCCCAUUCUCAGGAAUGGUGGCCCAGGCAUGCUUAGCGGCCAAGGCACACUGAUGGUAAGCAGCAUCUGGAAGUGCAAUUGUUGCACCAGGUCUGAAUAAGAGUCACUACCCAACAGCAUUUCCUCUGUAAUGUUCCCAUGUCCAGCGGCAAGAUUCUGUCUAGCCUGGUCUGCACACAUUUCUUGCCAAUUUAAAUUCCAUGUCAGAUAUGCACUAGCGGACAAACAAGUGCAAGCUAAAUGCUUUAUAUCCAAGGGUGGGAAGCACACAGCGCUGAAUACAGAUUCUAACAAUCCUAAAGUAAAUGGGCUGUGUAUUCCAUUAGUAACCACACUAGCUUUUAAUUAUUUCAAUAAUUUAAAUUUUACUGGAGUGUGUUCAUGAAUAAACUGCUAUGGAUUUUUUGGAUCAGGCCUUAAGGUGAUAGGAAAAGCGCAAGGUCCUAGUGGCUCGCCAGCUAUGGCUGCAGCACGCAGAAUUUUUUGUAUUGGGAUCUCUAUUUCUGCUACUGGGGGCAGUACAGGCCAGUUCUCAUCCUCCCUCUCCUGUUUAUCAUUUUCAAUAGGCACUGUUGGUGAGACAAAAGAUUCUGCCAUUUUUGAGAUUCAGAACGUAGCUCCUGCUGUCCAGCAGAAUAAGAAGGGGACAAUGGCAGGAGGACAGUACAGACCAAACCCCAAGCAGAGAAAACAGAAGGAUCCACUUUAAGAGCUUUCUGAUAAGCUCGUUUCAAUCCUUCUCCUACUUGGUCUCAAUUUUCCACAGCCAGGGUACCUGUCUGCAGAAACCAUGGGUUAUGUGUAAUAACCUCCUGUAAAAGCUUAAUGUUUGAGAACUAACCUGAGCACCAGAUUAAGUAAAACUUUAAGCAGCUGCACAUAAUGUUGCUCCUCAGUAGACAAAUUCUGCCCCAUGUUACCCUGAUUCAGAAACUCCUCAGGGAACUGACCUUAUAUUCUCCACCUGCAGACUCUUCCUUCCAGGGGUUCCUAGUUCCUCUAAUCAGUUUCACUUUCUCUGCUCUGGCAGACCUUCCUCGUUCAGGUCCCUGGUCGGGCACUACUUGUCAGGGUUGCCUCUGGACCAAGUGGAGGACGAAGGCAGAAAUGAAGACAAAGACAAAAGGAACUGUUUGAAAGAAGGGGUCAGGGGGCUCCUUGAUUCUAGGGAACAAGGGCCCUGAGCUUUUACAGCCCUUCAUAUUUAUUAGGUAGAGUGAAUAGGGAGGAAGGGGUAACUGUCGGUCAGCUAUUUGAUUUAACACAGGCCCACAUAAUUGCUUUCUUUGUUCAACAGGUUCCAGAUGUUCCUGUAGAUAACCUCAAGGAGCACGGGAUGUGGGGCAUGACUGCCCCCCAGCAUUCUUUCUGGGGGCAGACGCGGUUUGUCAGUUUGCCGACAUCCUGCCUUCAUGAGAACAGUUUGCGGUUUGCUCAUAGAGCCUCCAGUGGACCCUCAUUCCUUCGGCCUGCAGCACAGGACCCUCCCCUCCCAGGAGCGCAUAAGCGGUGACACCUGGCCAGACACGGGAGGUAGCGCCCUCACGCACCGCGCGCGCCUCUGCGCGCACCCACCGGGGGUCGCGUUUGCCUCACGGGUCCCACCCGCCCACUCGUUCACUCCCACCGCCAGCACGCUCAGGCCAGGGCGCCUGUCCAUCCCUCACAGUCACCCUCGCCGCUCCUCCACACACCACUCACCACUGAGGCAGCCUCCUCAGAGCAGGCCCCGCGAUAGUCCGCACGCCCGGCCGCGUCUUACACACCGCCGCCAGCACUUCCGUUACGCACUUCCGUCCGGUGGCCAGCGGCCGCCCAGGACUUCACCUCCCAGAAGGCCCUUCGCUUUCCUGCCUGGAAACGGGCAUGCACGGGAUACAAGGCCUUUUGGGAAAUGGAGUUCCCAGCGCUGCGGGGCCGGAAGCGGGGCGUGGGAGCUGCAGAUGGUCAGAACCUGUCGGUUCUGCGCAGGCAGCGCACCUAAAGGGAAGUAUAUUGACAUCCAUGGUUUUAUAUGUUCUUUGAAAUAUACAGCAUGUGUACUUUUU